rnacentral:rRNA from 1 species
AAUGAAAAUUUGUUUAAAACCGUUUUCUAUUUAAAAAAUAAUUAUAACAUUUAGAAAAAUUAAUUUUUUAAUAGAAAAUGAAAUUUUUGUAUUAUUUGUACUGAAAGGGACUUUUUAAAAAAUUAAAAAAGUAAUUAUUUGUACCUUUGGUAUUAGGGGUUUUCAAAAAAAAAUAAAAUUUUAUUUUUCUCGAAAUUAACAGAUCUAUAAUUAUAAAUAGAUAUAUAUUUCAUAAUAUGUUUUAAUAUAUUUAUAGAAGUGAAAUUCUUGUCAAAGUUAAGGAUAGCUAGUUAUUAUAAAUAAUUAUAUAUUUUCUUAUAAUUUAUAAUAUUAUAAAUUUUAUUAUAAGAAAAUUUUAAAGGGAUAAGCUUUUAAAUUUUUUUUGAAAAAUUAAGUUUUUUCCUAAAAAGAAAUAAAAUUUUUCUUAUACUGUUAUAGGUGAUUUUUAAUUUAAAUUUAAAAAUUAAAAUUAAUUAAUUUAAUCAAAUCAAACUUUUUUUUUGAGUUAAAAUGAAAAUAUUAGUAAAAUGAGAUUAACUUAGUUAAUAAAUUUAAAUAAAAAUUUUUAUUUACUUGAAAAAUAAUUUUUAAGAAUUCGGCAAAAAUUUUUUCUGACUGUUUAAUAAAAACAACGUAUUUAGAUAUUAUUAAAUAUAAAUCCUGCUCAAUGUUUUUAUAAAUUGCUGUAGUAUUUUGACUAUACAAAGGUAUUGUAAUAAGAUUUUAAUUGAAUGCUAAGAGAAUGGAAUUUCAGAAAAAAUCUUUUUUAAAAUUAAUAAUUGAAGUUAUUUUUAUUUGUGAAGAAGCAAUAAUAUAAAUUUAGGACAAGAAGACCCUAUGAAUUUCAAUAUUAUUUAUGUAAUAACAUUAUUUAAAUAAUAUUUAAUUGGGGCGAUUUAAAAAUAUUAAUAACUUUUUUUGAGAAAAGAAUUUGAUCCAUUAAUAGUGAUUAUAUGGUAAAAUACUCUAGGGAUAACAGCGUAAUAAUUUUGAAUAGACCUUAUUGAUAAAAUAGUUUGCGACCUCGAUGUUGGAUUAGGAUACUUAUUUAAUGAAGAAGUUAAAUAAAGAAGUUUGUUCAACUUUUAAAUUCCUACAUGAUCUGAGUUUAGACCGAUGUGAAUCAGGUUGGUUUCUACCUUAAUUUUAAAAUUAAAUUUUAAUUAGUACGAAAGGAAUUUUAAAAUUAAAUUAUUUUGUUAAGCUCUAAAAUUUUUUGCAUCAAUUUUUGGAAUU